AAUAUGGUCAGAGAUAUCAGAUAUGUGACUGGCACAGGAAUGACAGAUGGAGAAGGAAUGUCAUAUGAUAACAGAUGUGAUUCACUGACAGAAGCAGUUCUUCAUAAGACAUCACAGAUUAUCUCCGAUUUUGUUGAUAUUGAUUCUGCAAAGAAUUGGCUGAUGAAAUGGAAAUCUGAACUGGAAAUGUCCCUGCAACUAAUUUAAAUUCCGAAGAAUUAUAUGUUGAGAAUUUGUUAUUAGUCAGAUGUAAAGACACAUCCUAGAAACAGGUCCUACCGAUCUAACAGAAAAGAAAAAGAUUGAGAGAGAUCUAGAAAGCCUCAAGAAAGAAAGAGUCAAAUUAAAAAAGAAUGUGUGCAAUUUAGUUGUAGAAAGUGAUGUCAAUUUUGAAAAUGAGCCUUUUAAUUGUAUUUUGAAAAGUGCUCAAAAAAAGCGCAGUAUUAAUAGCCUUGAAAAACUAAGACAUUAUUCCAGUGAACGACAGUAUUUGUCUUCAUUGAUGAAAAAGUAUGCAGAUGGUCAAGUUUUGGGCUCCUGUAUCAGUAGAAAGUUGACGGCAAAUUCCGGAAAAAUUAGAAAAGAAUUAACUAUUCUUAACGAUGGACAUUUUGCGUCCAGGACAGAGUUCUGUGAUGUUUCUUUACCAACGUUGCCAAUUUUUGAUGAAUUGUCAGAGUGUUCUUUGAAUUCAGAUCAAAUAAAUGUUGCAGAAGCAGUUUCUUUGAAAGAACAUGCACAUGAAGAAAUAACAGUCGUUCAUUGUGAAAUUGCUACUUAUCACCGUUACUUGUUGAGUGCAAUUAAUAAUAUUAGAUCUGAAACUAAGGCUGACCUUAAAAAUAUCUUUGUUUCGCCUAACGCGACCGACUAACUAAAACCACCCCCGACUUAAAUUAUUUUAUUGCACUUUUCCACGAUCUUUUUAUUUUAUUUUGUGUGUCAACCUGAAAUAUAUCAUGAGAGUUAUUUCCCUAUACUAUGGCUAUGGUUUGAUUCAUUAUUGAAACUGGUUGAUCAAGACGAAAGCGUCAUAGGUGUCGCUUCUCAACAAAAUGGUUGCAGACGAAUACACGUCCAUUCCCACGAAAUAAUUCUGCCUCUAUGUCUGUGGUGCGUAGUUUUAAACAUGACGACGAUAUUUUCAAUAUCCGUUUUCGAGAAAAAUGAAAGCACAACGCGCACUAUCGUUAAAAACGUGUUGAAGGAGUUUCACACUUCAAGUUCGUGGCUAAUCGUGUGCGAGUCGGGCAUCACGAAAAAUCCCGAUGUCAUUGAUUUGUUUGCCAAUAAAGAAGACGAAUGUUUCCACCCGGAAAAUUAUUAAGCUGUCAAAUUAGCUCUUAAGUUUAAUAAAAACUUUCAGUUCGUUACUUUUUACGUCAGACCCCAAAUUCAUUAAACAAAAUUAAUGAAUCUGUAGUAUACAGCUAAUAAGUUUUCUGUAUUGAUUUCUCUGACUUUAAAAAAAAAUCUGAAAAAAAACGACCUACCGACCCUUCUCCUCGAUUGUGGGUCGGGUUUGGUGAAACAAAGAUAUUUUUAAGGUCAGCCUAAAGAUCUACAAUUGUCUUCCUCCACAGAAGAACUUAGAUAUAUGUGUUUAAAAAUCCAUUAUUUAUCGACACAUCUUUACAGAUUAACUAAACAAUAUAUCAAGUCAAGAGAAUUAUUUGAAAGCGCUGGAAUAGAACAUAAUUCUGCUUCAGAUUUGAAUGAAUUGAUACUGUGCUAUGUCCAACCUGAAAAACCUUUGUCAUCAGAGGAAUUAAUAGAUAUAAUAACAGAUAUACAAAGCUGUGAUUUAGAAUUUGAUGAAAGUGAUGUUGAUGAAACAAGUAGUGAUACAGAGGAUACUGACUCUGAGUUGGAUGAUAAUUAAUGCUGUAUUGCAAAAGUGUAUAUUAGCUAAAUAAGAUUUUGAUUUUCUUUUUAGAAAGCUGUACAACGCUGCAGAGUUGUCUAUAACUUUUCUUACCAUGAACAUUUUGUUAGCAAUGCCUGAUGAAACCUGCAUGUAAUAAGCCCGUAAAAUUACCCUUUUUCAUUUGAAAAUAUAUAUAUACCCUACAUUUGUUUGUUUUGGAUUUAUUUGAAUUUGAGAUCUAAAAAAAUAACAAAAUUUUCUCCUUUUUAUAUCUUUUGACAAAUCUACAUAUUUUUGUAUCGUGAUCUUUCUGGUGGCAAUGUCAGAUGGGGUGUAUAGUCCCUGGCGUGGACGGAAUAAGCCCGAAACUUUGUCUUGAUACCAUCGGACAUUGCCAUGCCAAUUUUGAAAUGAGUGAAAAAUUGAAAGAGCAGUUUUGUCAGGUGCAGCAUACAAAAUUUUUUCUUUUUUGUCUUUGAGAUAUCUUGAUCUUUUUAUAACAUGAUCUUUUUGAUAGCGAUGUCUGAUGGGAAAUAUAGGAUUAUAAGUCCCUGGAGUGGAUGGAAUAAGCCCGUAAACUUUUUCUUGCUCCCAUCAGACAUUGCCACAGCCAUUUGUAAAUAUGGGUGGAAUAUUGAAACAGCAACUUUAUGUCUUGUGUAGCAUUCUCAAUAUUUAAAAGUAACAUGAAAGUACAUUAUUUAUUCAUAUGUGGAUCUUUCAGUCUGAAAUUAUCAGAUAUAUAUCACCCAGUACAAUAGUAUAGGUUGUUAUUAAUUAAGUAAAUUGUCAUAUAGAUCAACUCAACUUACUAAACCACUCACUAGUAAACUAUUGACAGCAAUACUUUGUAAUAGACUGUUGACAGCCCGACCUCGUAAUGAAACACCAGUAGCUUUUUAUGAUAGUAGUAUAUCACCAUAUACAAUAGUAUAACAGUAUAAGCCAGUUGUAUAUAUCACCAUAUACAAUAGUAAAAUAUGUUAGUAAUUAAGUCAGUUGUCAUGAUAGUAGUAUAUCACCAUAUUAUACAAUAGUAAUGCAUGUCAGUAAUUAACUCAGGUAUCAUUUGGUUGUAUAUCUCCAUGUACAGUAGUAUAACAUGUCAGUUAAAAACUAGUUGUUUAUCACCAUGUACAGUAGUAUAACAUGUCAGUAAUUAAGCCAGUUAUCACCUAGUUGUAUAUCACCAAAUACAGUAGUAUAACAGUAAUUAACCAAGCUAUUGUCUAGUUGUAUAUCACCAUUUACACUACUGUGGUAUAUUAUCAUGUACAGUAUUAUAACAUGUCAAGUCAAUUAUCAACUAGUUGUAUAUCACCAUGUACAGUAGUAUAACAUGUUAGUAAUUAAGUCAGUUAUCAACUAGUUGUAUAUCACCAUGUACAGUAGUAUAACAUGUCAGUAAUUAAGUCAGGUAUCAUGUAGUUGUAUAUCACCAUGUACAGUAGUAUAACAUGUCAGUAAUUAACCAUGUUAUUUUAUAGUUGUAUAACACCAUUUACAGUGGUAUAUUAUCAUGUACGGUAUUAUAACAUGUCAGUAAUUACGUCAGCUAUCAUCUAGUUGUAUAUCACCAUGUACAGUAGUAUAACAGUAAUUAAUUAACCAUGUUAUUAUAUAGCUGCAUAACACCAUGUACAGUAGUAUAACAUGUCAGUUAAAAACUAGUUGUUUAUCACAAUGUACAGUAGUAUAACAUGUCAGUAAUUAAGUCAGUUAUCAUCUAGUUGUAUAUCAGCAUGUACAGUAGUACAACAUGUCAGUUAACAUCUAGUUGUAUAUCAGCAUGUACAGUAGUACAACAUGUCAGUUAACAACUAGUUGUAUAUGACCAUGUACAGUAGUACAACAUGUCAGUUAACAACUAGUUGUAUAUGACCAUGUACAGUAGUAUAACAUGUCAGUUAACAACUAGUUGUAUAUGACCAUGUACAGUAGUACAACAUGUCAGUUAACAACUAGUUGUAUAUGACCAUGUACAGUAGUAUAACAUGUCAGUUAACAAAUAGUUGUAUAUCACCAUGUACAGUAGUAUAACAUGUCAGUAAUUAAGUCAGUUGUCAUCUCGUUGUAUAUCACCACGUACAGUAGUAUGACAUGUCAGUAAUUGAGUCAGUUGUCAUCUAGUUGUAUAUCACCAUGUGCAGUAGUAUAACAUGUCAGUUAUAAAGUCAUCUAGUUUUAUAUCUCCAUGUACAGUAGUAUAAUAUGGCGGUUAUCAUAGAAUGUUAAUUAUUGUGUAGAUAUAUGUGUGUUUCAAUGUAAUUUUU